rnacentral:rRNA from 1 species
UGUUCCCUACGGGGGGCAGCAGUGAGGAAUAUUGGUCAAUGGGCGGGAGCCUGAACCAGCCAAGUCGAGUGAGGGAAGACGGUCCUAUGGAUUGUAAACCUCUUUAGGCGGGGAGCAAUGCCGGGCACGCGUGCCCGGAGGGAGAGUACCCGCAGAAUAAGCAUCGGCUAACUCCGUGCCAGCAGACGCGGUAAUACGGAGGAUGCGAGCGUUAUCCGGAUUUAUUGGGUUUAUAGGGUGCGUAGGCGGAUUUUUAAGUCAGGGGUAAAAUGUCCGGGCUCAACACGGGCC